GAGCAGGGACACCUUGUUUCUCCUUGCCCAGACGGUGAUCGUUGGCUCCUACUUGAUUGCACAUGGUUUCUUCAGUGUCUAUGGCAUGUGUGUGGACACGCUGUUCCUCUGCUUCUUGGAGGACCUGGAGAGGAAUGACGGCUCGGCCGAGAGGCCUUACUUCAUGUCUUCCACCCUCAAGAAACUCUUGAACAAGACCAACAAGAAGGCAGCGGAGUCCUGAAGGCCCCGCGCUC
rnacentral:sRNA from 1 species